AGGGUCUUAGUUUAAUCAAAACCUUUCCUUUGCAAGGAAAUAAUGUUUCGAAAGUUUUCCUUC
rnacentral:tRNA from 1 species